rnacentral:lncRNA from 1 species
UUAGAUGCAGAUCUAAUGGUCAGCAAUGACGGAUGGCAGACACGCCAUCAUCAUCAACUGAGUCUUUUAUAGGAGUAUGUGUGGUGCUACCUUGAGUGCGGCUGUGUGUGUGCGUGCGUCCGUGUAAACUCUUGUUAGACCUCGUGGCUUGGUGGUUUGCUUUAUAUGUAAAGCGGGGGGAAAUCCUUUUUCGGUAAGUGAGAUAUUGUUGCAAAUAGGCCACAACUUACUUCACAGUCGUUAGAUACAGAUCUAAUGGUCGGAAAUGACAGAUGACAGACACACCAUCAUCACCAACUGAGUCUUUUAUAGGAAUAGAGACAAGUUGGGGUAGACUAGAGGUGAAACCCAUAAGAUCUCUGUUGUAGGGUGGAACCCUAAGUGGAGAUCUUUCACGAAUUGGAGGGGAAUCCCCAAGAACAAGAAGAACACAAGGGGAAAAAGAGGAGGAACACUCAAGAACAAGUCCAAAUCAUACAUCCACUAGACUCAAAUCAACACAAGAUCCACAAGGUACAUGAACAAUCAAAGGGAAAAAGAUACAUGGUAGAGUUCAUCCCAAAUCCAUAGGAGAUGGGGGCUUGAUGAUCUAGAUAGAUCCUUUCCCGAAGGGGUCUUGAUAUCCCUCGGGAUCUUCUCCUAAGAGGUCUUGCAUCCACACAUGGAUCUUCUCCUAGGAGGAAUCCCACAAGGGGAGGUACAUGAGCUAAACUCUAAUGU